CUCUUAUCAAGAGCAGGUGGAGGGAUUUGGCCCGAUGAAACCCAGCAACCGACCGUAAUACCAUUGUGAGAUGGGGCGCUUAUGCGCCAAAAAAGGCACGGUGCUAAUUCCAGCAGAAAGUAAGUUUUCUGGCAGAUAAGAG
rnacentral:ncRNA from 1 species